CUCCUAUAAAAUUUCAUCGAAUUGCUUCGAUCCAAAUUAGACAAAAAUUUCUGAGGAUGUAACGAACAAUUUGUAAAAAGAAUUUUGUCGAUAUCUUUUUUUGUUACGAAGGAGAUGCACUCUGAGGAUAAACAGUGAAUAGGGAGAUAACUCUUACAAGGGAAUUGGUUGGCCUUAGCAGGGUAAAAUUUAAAAGCGCAUAAACUAUACGAUACCAUAUGAGAAAUAUCUAAGCGACAUAUUGCGAAACAAACAUUUAUCGCAAGAACAAAAUUUGGCGGAAAAAAAUAAAAAAAAUAAUGAUCAUAAU
rnacentral:lncRNA from 1 species